rnacentral:tRNA from 1 species
AGGGGUGUAGUUCAGUUGGUAGAACGGCGGUCUCCAAAACCGCAUGUCGUGGGUUCAAGUCCUGUCGCCCCUGCCA